GACGAACCGUGCGAACGUUGUUCGGAAUCACUGGGCUUAAAGGGCGCGUAGGCGGGCCCGCAAGUCAGGGGUGAAAUCCCACGGCUCAACCGUGGAAGUGCCUUUGAUACUGCGGGUCUCGAGGGAGGUAGGGGCGUGCGGAACUUCCGGUGGAGCGGUGAAAUGCGUAGAUAUCGGAAGGAACACCGGUGGCGAAAGCGGCGCGCUGGACCGCUUCUGACGCUGAGGCGCGAAAGCUAGGGUAGCGAACGGG
rnacentral:rRNA from 1 species